GACGAACGCUGGCGGCGUGCCUAAUACAUGCAAGUAGAACGCUGAAGGAGGAGCUUGCUCUUCUGGAUGAGUUGCGAACGGGUGAGUAACGCGUAGGUAACCUGCCUGGUAGCGGGGGAUAACUAUUGGAAACGAUAGCUAAUACCGCAUAAGAGUAGAUGUUGCAUGACAUUUACUUAAAAGGUGCAAUUGCAUCACUACCAGAUGGACCUGCGUUGUAUUAGCUAGUUGGUGGGGUAGCGGCUUACCAAGGCGACGAUACAUAGCCGACCUGAGAGGGUGAUCGGCCACACUGGGACUGAGACACGGCCCAGACUCCUACGGGAGGCAGCAGUAGGGAAUCUUCGGCAAUGGACGGAAGUCUGACCGAGCAACGCCGCGUGAGUGAAGAAGGUUUUCGGAUCGUAAAGCUCUGUUGUAAGAGAAGAACGAGUGUGAGAGUGGAAAGUUCACACUGUGACGGUAUCUUACCAGAAAGGGACGGCUAACUACGUG
rnacentral:rRNA from 1 species